GACGAACGCUGGCGGCGUGCUUAACACAUGCAAGUCGAACGGAAAGGCCCUGCUUUUGUGGGGUGCUCGAGUGGCGAACGGGUGAGUAACACGUGAGUAACCUGCCCUUGACUUUGGGAUAACUUCAGGAAACUGGGGCUAAUACCGGAUAGGAGCUCCUGCUGCAUGGUGGGGGUUGGAAAGUUUCGGCGGUUGGGGAUGGACUCGCGGCUUAUCAGCUUGUUGGUGGGGUAGUGGCUUACCAAGGCUUUGACGGGUAGCCGGCCUGAGAGGGUGACCGGCCACAUGGGGACUGAGGUACGGCCCAGACGCCUGCGGGAGGCAGAGGGGGGAAAUAGUGAACAAGGGGCGGAGGCGGGAUGCAGCAGCGCCGCGUGGGGGAGGGCGGCCUUGGGUUGGAAAACCGCUUGCGCCUGUGACGAGGGGGGAGUGAGGGAAAUGGGUAAAGAAGCCCCGGCUAACUACGUG
rnacentral:rRNA from 1 species